rnacentral:SRP_RNA from 1 species
GCUGGGUGUGGUGGCAUACCCAGCUACUUGGAAGGCUGAGGCAGGAGGAUCGCUUGAGUCCAAGAGUUCUGGGCUGUAUGUAGUCAGUCAAAUUUAUCAUCAAUAUGGUGACCUCCUGGGAGCAGGGGGUCACCAGGUUGCGUAAGGAGGGCUAAACCGGCCCAGGACAGAAUUAGAGCUGGUCAAAACUGCUGAUUGUUAGAGUGAUUGUGCCAUGGGUAGCAACUGUACUCCAGCCUGAGCAACAUAAUGAGACCCCAUCUCU